rnacentral:rRNA from 1 species
UACGUAGGGUGCAAGCGUUAUCCGGAAUUAUUGGGCGUAAAGAGCUCGUAGGCGGUUUGUCGCGUCUGCUGUGAAAACCCGAGGCUCAACCUCGGGCCUGCAGUGGGUACGGGCAGACUAGAGUUCGGUAGGGGAGACUGGAAUUCCUGGUGUAGCGGUGAAAUGCGCAGAUAUCAGGAGGAACACCGGUGGCGAAGGCGGGUCUCUGGGCCGAUACUGACGCUGAGGAGCGAAAGCGUGGGGAGCGAACAGG